UGCGGGGUCGCUCGGCGGGCGGGCCGGCUCCGGCCCGGCCGGCGAGGCCUCGUACCGCCGGCGCACCCCCGUCCGGGGCGGGGCCUUCGUGG
rnacentral:tRNA from 1 species